AUGUUCUCAGCUUUGAUCAGUUUUAUUGAUUGUGUGAUGAUCAGGAUGAAGAAACAAUGUUUCACCUCCAUUAUCUGUGUCACACUAACGUUUGUUCUGUGUUUCAGGGUCAAACAUCCCAUUGAUCAUUGGGUUGGUUGCUUUAGCAGUUUUGGCUCUUAUAAUUGUAGUUUUGGUUAUAUACAUACUCAGAAUCAGGAAGAGGAUCUAGGCAUGACAACCUCCAGACAUCUUGUUGGGACAUUGAAUCCAGACCGGGAUGUGACACAGAACCUUAUCUGGACUUUGUUUUAGUGUCCACAUGCGUCAACCUAACAUGAUGUUACAGUUUUAUUUUACAUUGUCUUAGUUCACCCCGUGUUUACCUGAACAGGUGUUCGGUUUUGUUUUUCUGUUUUCAGUCCAUGUUGAUGUAAAUGUCUGAUGUCACUAUAAACAGACAUUGAUGAUUCAUCAGAAACCUGAUGGUCAAACCUUCCAGCUUCACGUAAACACGGGCUGCAGAACCAUUGGUGAAUAUGAUUAUUUACAUUAUUGUGCAGCUUUGAUGUCAAAUGUAACUUGAGUUGCUGUUAAAGCAUUUAAAGGAUUUUACCAACAGUUUUGCUUCAAUUCCAAAUAGUUCACCUGAUGAAAUAUAUAAUUAAAUAUAUGUUUUCUGUGAACAAGUGAGCGACCCUGAGACCUGAAUAGAGAAACCAGCUGAAGGAAACAGUCGUUCCCUGUUUAAAGUGAUCAGAGGCCUAAUUGAUUCAUUGGCUUAAGCUUGAUGUUUAUAAUGUGAAUAUUUAGCUGCUCUAUUCAACAAAAUGUGACUUUUAUUUAAUGGUUCCUUCUAUUCUGUAUAAAGUGUUGGUCCAAAGUCUGAACAUGUUCAUGUGGUUAACAGUAAACAGUUACAGUUUAUUGCAUUGCAUUAUAUGCAUUUAGUCGUUUUUAUUUUAUUAACUUCAGCUUUUUCAGAGUUUGUCAUGUUAGUUCAUUUUCAUGAUGUAACAUUUCUAUGAUUUAUCUAAUUAGUGUUAGAUUCCGUAUUUUAUGCUGCAAUAUUAAAACACAUUUACUUUAUUGUUUGAUUAAGUUUGGAUACUGUUUAUAAGUGUUAUAAUUUUAGUUCAGAUUCAGGUUUUACUUGAGAUCAGAUUGUUUCGUAGAGAAAUUAAAUUAGUUUCUGUCUCAUAAAAAAUAUUUGUCAUAAUUAAAUAAUUUUUACUGUGCAAACAUUAAAAUACAUAAUAUACUCAAACAGGUUGUAGAUGAUUUUUCUAUGUAGAAGAAGAAAGCCUUUACUGCU
rnacentral:lncRNA from 1 species